GCCCGCCUGCACCUGCUCGUGGCCUCCUUUGGGCACUCCCGAAUAGCUGAAUGUGUUUUUCUAUACUGUUGUGAGAAACAGGGCCAGGAGACCAGCUCUGUUAACAAGGCCUUUGUUAAGAACAGCUCUUGUGUGGGGAACCCGAGGGGUCGUGCACGCCGCCACUGCUCCCAUAGGACAAUGCUGAGCAGGAGGAGUGCAGCUUUGUCUCUCGGCAGAGCUGGGGCUUCCGUCCUCACCAGAGUCCUCAGCAGGACAAUGUUGGCUCGUAGUUUAGGGGUGUCAUCCAGGCUGAGUGCUCCUCAAGCCAUGGUGACAGGACGGAAUCCGACUCUGGUCAGUGGUGGGUAAUUCCCGGUGGUGCAGCCAGGUUAAAAUCAUAGUUUAUGUGCUGGUUUGUUGUUUUUGAGAGAGUCCAUACCCUACCAACAGCUCCUCAUUGAAUUCAGUCCGGGUGCAAGUCCCUCUGGGAGCAGGGGAAGGGGUUCCCAAUGGAAAGGGAUACAAACACAGGGUAAGACAGUAACACUUAACAAUGGGCAAACAAAGGCAAAUCUCAGAAUCUAACAUUGUACAUUCAACAACAGACUAACACUUCCAGUUGAGAUCCUAUUAACUUUAUCAACAUUAACUACCAAUUGCCACUCUGGAAAAAGAGCUCCCAUCUCGAGUGUUUCAUUUCUUACACUGUGAUGCUGCAAACUGUGUCCCCUCAGGGCCCCCUUCACAGUCCCCUCAGUGAGGAGGUGUGGUGAGGAUCUCCAGGAGCUGUGCCCGGUGCUGUCCCCUCAGUGCAGUCUCUCCUGCCAGGGAGCCCAGCGUGCCCGUCUCCCUCAAAGGCAAACACGUGAGCCUGGUCAGUGCUGCAGACCCUGAGACUUUAUCAUUUUGCCAGCUAAAAUUGCUCCAACUCCAAAUAGCAUGUAACAGAAACAUGGGGAAUGUGAGUGUUUGGGAAGCACCAGAGCACCAGGAACCACUCUCGAGGGAAUUUCUCCUACCCCUACUCCCUGAAGUUCCAUCUCUAAAAAUUGCAUCCCCACAUUUUGCUGUAUAAAGGAGAGGAAUAACACAGAGGAUCUUUAUAUUAAUUUGGAUCCACUUAAAGAAAAUUCUCCUUUCAAUACAAGUGCUCAGCUGGGGAUUAGGAGCCCUGUGUCCUCUAUCCCACAGCACUGCAAGAAGGAUUAGGGCCUGGAGUGUUUACAGUCUGAAGGACAUAAACAAACAAAAGCCAGAGAGAACAGAACAGUUACUGCAAUUCUUGUCAUUUUCACUCUGAGGGAGAAAUGACAGAUAAUUAAAUCUUAAAAAAAACCCACAAGUCUGAUAAAAAGUGAGAAGAGAAAUGCCUGAAGCAAGAAAAGGGGCACAAUAUUGUCAGCUGCUAUGGAUGAGUUUAGACUUUCAGCUUCCUUUCAGUCUUGCUUUCCACUUUGAACUCAUUACAGUGAUUAUUCUACAGUGUAAUGAAUAACACUUAAAAGUACAGAAUCUGAGGAUGCAGAAUCUGGAUAACCCUGCCUAAAAGGAACAGUUAAGAGUAAAAUGUAUGAAUUUUGAGUGUAGUUCAGGAUUUUUAGAUGGCUGAAAGAAAAGUGAAAGAAGAGAUGUAGAGGAAAGUGACCAUAAUAAAGAAUGUAGGUGAUGUGGGUUAUGCAGCACACACUGUGUGUUUUCCCUUGAAAAACUCAAUGAAGUCCUGUCCAGAGAGAGAUGAGACUAUUACAGGGCAAUUGGAGAUGGUCAGCAAGGUAAGGGAAAGAUGAAGGAGUAGAGCUUGUUAAUCAAGAAAAUAGCAGCAGAGAAAGGAAGAAAUUAUUUUGCUGUUAGCUUCUCCUGGGAAGUUGUAGGAAUAGAAAGCUAACGGAGAGAGAAAAAGCACAGGGUAUAAGCCAAGACUGACCUUACAGGAGGAAAGAAGAAAUGAAAAAAAGCAAUUAAAUUCAAAAUAAGAAAUAUCCCUCACAAGCUGUAAGAGGCAAGUUUACCAGCUGGGUAUGAGUUCUGAGUCCAAGCCAUGAUCGGUUGUGGAAAUUAAAUGUAUAUACAGAGGGAAUAUACUGUGUAUUAGUUUGCCUUUCCUGUGGUUUUCUGUGUAUCCUGUACUGACCACUGUUUCACCAGGGGCUGCAUACAAAACAGCUGGACCUGUGGUGUGCCCCUGAGAAGCCUUUCAGUACAGGGAUUACAUGAGAACACAAUCUCCACUUCAGGUUUUUUGUGUAACUCAAUGUGCUUGUUUACUGAAAGAUAUUUUUCAGGUAAAACACCCCAACACUGUUUUACUGCAGAGCAGUGAAAGAGAGGUAACUCUGUCCUUGUGCAUUGCCCUGGAGUUCCCCAGUGCCCCUUUCUCACCUCUGCCUGGCUCUGCAGGAGCACCUGCUGCAGCUUACCUGGAGCAGCACACCUGGGUUGGACAUUUGGCUCUUUCCUCCCAGGCCUGGAAGAAAUCUGACAUUUUCCUUACUCUGGAGGAAGGGCACAAACCUGAGUUCUCCUGUCUCCUGUAGCUACCAGAUAUCUUAUAGACCACAGACAGGGAAAGGGGAGAGGAGAGGAUGAUGCAGGGAAAUGAUGAGAUGGCUGCAGAUGAGGAGCCACAGGCCUGUGCAGGCACACGCCUGACUUCCUUCAAAAACCAGAAUAAAACUGUACAGAACAUUUUCAGUGCAGUGGGAAGGACCAUUCCACAACUGCCUUUUUGUUAGGAGCACAGCCAGCAUUUCUCCAAGUGUGAAUACAGGUGUGUCUACAAGUGUAUAAUAGAGGAACUGCUAAUAGGGUGUUGCAGGUCACACUUCCUGUAGGUGCAAAGCUACUUUAAAAUCUCUUCAAAGUUCUCAGUGCAAAGCAUUAAAAAUGACGUUUUUUAUUACCCAAAUAAUUGUCUCUCAGGAGAGCCAAUCCACUCAACCUUACUUUUCUGAGAUCUCAGCUUAAUUAUUUUGGCUAUAAAAUUAUUGGCAGGUUUUCAGUUUAUUUGGCAAUAAAAAGUUAUUUUGGAAGUAGGAGAUAGCAUUUUAAGGUUUAAAAAAAGGUACAGUAUCAUUAUUUCAGAGAAAAAGAUGAAAAAAGUUUGGGAUACAAAUCACAAGCACUGAUUGUUUAUUUUUAGUGCACCAAAUGAAUUCUAACUGCUGUUUUAACAAUAAAAUACCAGUCCACUUUCUUUUUCUCUCAAGUAAAGACUAGAGAUCUGGAAGCAAGAGUCAUAUCUAUGUGGCACAUCCCAUAUGUGUGAAAAUUCCUAUUCAGCUCUGGAGUGCUGUCAGGCCACAGUUCCAAUUCUGGCAUGAUUCCAUUUCCAUUAAGAUUGGUGGCAAUAGGGCAGGCCUUAAACCACAGACGUGCUUCAGAAGGCAGCAGUUUAUAUCCUCCCAGGUAUUCCAAGUUUGGAGCUUGUAAUUUCUUUCUUAUCAGAUUUACAAUGCCUUCUGCUAUAGUUGAAUGUUGGUGCUAAUGUUCUUUUACUGAGUUUUGAGGCUUCAGAUAAACUUAUUCCAUUUUCUCUGCCCAUCUUCAAACCUGCCAAACUGCUCCUAAGAUCUGAUUCAGUGAGCAGUUUAGUUUGCCCUGAAUAUAGUCUUGAGAUAACAUGAACUAGAAAUCCUAAAAUGAUUUCUUCUUGUCUGAGGAGUAUCAGUCCAGCAGCUACUUAAAUAUUUCUGUAAUGACAUUGAUUUCAGGACAGAGAGAUUCUGUGAUUUCCAUUUUUAUUUGCUUUUAUAUAUUUUUAACUUAUCACUGCUGACUACAGAGUCAGAGCAUUCUUGGGAAAGGAUUCAGCAUCAGAUUUUCUAUAAGCUUGCAGAAAUUGUUUAUUGAAUAGCAUGGGUUGCCAGCAUCCUGGAAAACUGAGAACACUGUGUUUGUUUUCUAUUAGACAAAAUUGACAAAGAGAUUUUUUUUAUCCUCCAGAUACAAAGUGGUAAUAAAAGGCAAUUUAAGAGCAGCACUAUGGACACUGAGUCAACGUGAAGGGUUCGUGGCCAGACUUUGAUAAUUGACUGUAGCUUGUGAAGGAAGGAAGUAGGUUGUUUUCUCUUGAUCUGGCAGUUUUGCAUUUUCCAGAUGCAGAAGUGAGGCUUCAGCUCCUACUGCAAUGUUUGUACAAUGUCCAGAACAAUCCAGAAUCUGAGGAUUUCAAUAUUCUGUCCAACAGCCUACAUGGUGUGUGCCUCAAAGGAGCAACAAUGAUGGUAAAACUGCUUUUGUGGCAGUGCAGUGAUAUCAGACAAUAUCUUCCACAUGUGCAUUUCAUCAGCAAACAAAGGAAAGGGGAUUGGGUUUAAAGCACAGACGUCACUGUUGUCACUAAGAUCCCAAGGCACAAAGUCUUUUGUCUUUAUCAUUUAAUAGCAGCAUUUCCCCAUGGGCUCAAAGGCAGCUCAGCCUUGUGGUGUGCUAGGCACAGAAAACCAAACUCUGCUGCUAUGUCUUGGUAAUUUACACAAGGUGUCAGAAGAACCUACUAGAAACCCCAAAUGUGCCCAUAAUCCAACACCAUUCUCUCAAGAUAUGCUUGUCAAAUGGAAGGUGGCUUUGUCGGAAGGUUUGGAACUUUUUAAAAAAAACUCUAUUACUAUUUUCAAAUUAGUUUACAGCAGUGUAAUAUGUAGGUGUUUUUCUAAGAAAGGUCAAAGCCCUCUGUAUUUAUGAUUGGAGCUGCACAGUUACAUGGUUUAUGAGUUUGCAUUGUGUUCAGAAAACCAGCAGCACACAGGAUUCUGUGGCAUUUCUGCAGCACUUCAGCGUGUCUUUGUAUCGGAAGAUUUUUCUUCACAAUAACCCAGUAACAAGCUGUUUAUGUAGGAGAGCAGGCCAUGAUGAAAGCUAUAUUAAAUUUCAUCCUUGCUCUUUUACAAUAAUCAUACAUAAAUAACAUACUGCCAGAGGCAAACUAUACAAGCACUGUUUCUUUGUUUUCCCAUUUCUAGUAGAACCUGAAUCAUUAAUUUUUUCAGAGAUACAGUCAUAUAUAAAAAAUUCAACAACAUUAGUGUGCAGUGUGUACCUUCUUUGUGUAGUCUGAAGACUGCAAGUUAUCUCAACAAUCUCUGCCCAUUGUUUGAGUUUCUAAACUCAGACUAUAGCAAUAAAUUUUUUUAGCUUUGAAUGCCUCUUGUUCAAUCCUUGCUCAGGAUAUUACAUAAAUGGAACGUGACAUAGGAUUUGCAGCAUUCAGAUAUUCUGGACAAAUUAAUUCCCAAAGAUGAAGUAUAAAAUCUGCUGAUGAGUGAGGAUCAGCAAAGAAUCUCAGUUUAGACUAAAAAGGUUUAGGCUUUUAAUGCUAGAGGUUUCUGGUUCAACUCUUGUGCUGCUGCUCUUGCCAUUCUGUAAUACAGUCAGUUUCCCCCUCCCUCCAAGCAGUGAUAAUAACCAUACUUUUAUAUAUUAACCAUACUUUUAUAUCCUUUAGCAAUUCUUCAAUCGAAAAUGGAGAUGGAUUAUUUCUUAUAUGGCUUUCCAAAUUAAAACUGAGGAGUUUUAACAACAUGUAGCCAGUAUGCUGUUGGAAUUUCAUCUCCCCAAAGUAAAAGUACUUGGAAAGUUGUGAUGGGUUAUGAGUACAAAAAUUAUAUUUACAGUUCUGUUCUUGAAAAUAAAUGACUAGGAUGUUA